rnacentral:rRNA from 1 species
GGAGUCUACAUGUGCGCGAGUCGUUGGGCGUUACGAAACCCUUAGGCGCAAUGAAAGUGAAGGUACGGACUUGUCCGGCCUGGGUGGGAUCGCGGGCCGUUCGCGGUCCGCGCGCACCACCGGCCCGUCUCGCUCGCAACGUCGGGGAGGCGGCGCAAGAGCGUACACGUUGGGACCCGAAAGAUGGUGAACUAUGCCUGAGUAGGACGAAGCCAGAGGAAACUCUGGUGGAGGUCCGCAGCGAUUCUGACGUGCAAAUCGAUCGUCAAACUUGGGUAUAGGGGCGAAAGACCAAUCAAAA